rnacentral:rRNA from 1 species
GUUACUUCGGUACAUCGGUGACAGGUGUGCAUGGUUGUCGUCAGCUCGUGUCGUGAGAUGUUGGGUUAAGUCCCGCAACGAGCGCAACCCUAUUGUUAGUUGCCAUCAUUCAGUUGGGCACUCUAGCGAGACUGCCGGUAAUAAACCGGAGGAAGGUGGGGAUGACGUCGAAUCAUCAUGCCCCUUAUGACCUGGGCUACACACGUGCUACAAUGGUUGGUACAACGAGUUGCGAGUCGGUGACGGCGAGCUAAUCUCUUAAAGCCAAUCUCAGUUCAGAUUGUGGGCUGAAACUCGCCCACAUGAAGGCGGAAUUGCUAGUAAUUGCAGAUCAGCAUGCUGCAGUGAAUACGUUCCCGGGCCUU